GUUCUCCAAAGGGGAAAAAAUGAGGUUGAUGAGAAAGGCGGUUACUGGUUGAUAAGGAGGCAUUGAGAACUGCCUGCCUGCCACGUUUGAUUUUGAAAUCUCAGGCUCUUCGAAGCUUCUAUAAGGGGACAAGUAGUCACAAUGCUAUAGCUUGUAGCGGAUUGCAAAGAUGCUUGUAAAACACUCAAAGCCUAUUAAAAAUUCCCAGCAGAUCUCUUCUCCCAGAUCCUUCGCCACUCCCCACCAAUGAGCCGGUAUACAUUCAAGGGAAACAAAGAAGCAAUUCUAAAGCACAAAGGAGCUGCCCAACUAUUCCAGGAGUUUCCCCAGGCAGGGGAAAUGUGCGUCCUGACAUGCUUGGCUGGAACUGAUUGGGAACCAGACUGUGUUCACUGAGCAAGUUGAGAAAGAUUUGCCUCAAGCUUCGGCACAUUAUGAUGUCAUCUUUUGGCAUUUUAAAUAUUCAAGCAGAUUCUUUACCUGCUGAGCCACUGGGGAAACCCAAAGCUCUUAAGGAGCCGGGUCUUAUCUAACCCAUUUGAGAAAAACAGUUCUGGUCUGACGGCAAGAAAGAACUGAAGUGGAAGACUGCACACUGGGUUCUGGGUCACUGCCUCGUGUGACCAGAAACGACCCAGGGACACGUUCCAGCCUCAUUUCCUCGCCGGCAUUGAAGCUGAACCCACUGCCAGCCGUAAGACCUGACCGGACCUCUCCUCUCCUUUGGAACUAAGCAGGCUGGGCUGAUAUGUGACACCAUAGAGGUGUGGCCCCCCACCAGCCCCAUUAGAUUAAACCCCACCUUGUUGCUUACUUGGUGUGUGGCCUUGGUUAACCACAAACCCACCUAAACACCCCACUGGCAAGCCCGCUGAAUACUGUUGCUUCUUACCCAGCCUCUUAGGGAUAUGAUUAGAAGACUGACUUAUAAUGUCAAGAUGUUACUUUCCUAAAGCCCUGGUUGUAACUCCAGGCAAGAUGACUGUCUUAGCCACUUCAUUCCUAGAUGAGACUGAACUCACCCGGGGUCCUUGGGGUGCACGGAAUAAAGAAUGUGGCCCAUCAAUGAUGCUACCGAUUCAGGAAGGCCCUCUAUAAAUCCAUCUCCAGGGUCAGUGGUUGCCAUGGGACAGGCAUUGUGCAAGGGACUUAAA
ensembl:lncRNA